UGACGGCCAUACCAGGUAGAAGCACAGAUUCCUAUAGAUUCCCCGAAGUUAAGCAACGUCGAGCCUGGUCAGUACUUAGAUGGCUAACCUCUUGGGAAUACCCGGUGUU